CUUUGUGAGAGUAUCAAAUCAGGCGGCGGUAAAUACGUAGAAGCAACUAGGCGUACUACGGCGUGUACCGGACAGCGUUGGCGUGCCGCUCUGCUAGCAGCGGAGAGCCAGAUGAGGAUGCCCGUGAUAUGAGAAAAGCUCUGUCCAGAGAUAUGGAGACGAAAUCAGUUGUACCUCACCCUGUGACACCGGAAGACAUUGAGUAACUCGUCCUGCAGCUGGCUCCUCGGUUUUGGCGGCAGCCUGCACAUAGCAGCCCAGCUCUCCAGCAGCCUGACGGACCGACCGUGUGUCUGUUCCACGCCGGACUGGCGAGCGUGGCUCUGGGGUAGGACAGCCGAGGUGCCCCAGGGCCGGGCCCCGAGCCCCGGUGCGGAGUCUCUCCCGGGACCGGCUCUGUGUGUGACUGAAUAAACGCUUGCGGUCUCUU